GACGAACGCUGGCGGCGUGCCUAAUACAUGCAAGUCGAGCGCUGACGGCUGGUACUUGUACCAACUGGAUUAGCGGCGAACGGGUGAGUAACGAGUGGGGCAUCUGCUUUUGAGCGGGGGACAACAUUUGGAAACGAAUGCUACUACCACAUAAAAACUUUUACCACAAGUUUUAAGUUUGCAAGGUGCCUUUGCCUCACUAAAAGAUCAUCCUGCGUUGUAUUAGCUGGGUGGUUAGGUAAAGGCUCACCAAGGCGGAGAUACCUAGCCGACCUGAGUGGGUGAUUGACCCCAUCGGGAACGAGACACGGCCCAAGACCCUACGGGAAGCAGCAGGAGGGAAAUUUCGGCAAAGGACGGAAGUCUGAAUGCGCAACGCCGCGUGAGUGAAGAAGGUUUUCGGAUCGGAAAACUCUGUUUGUAGAGAAAAAAGAGCGUGAGGGUGGAAAGCUCAUCAAGUGACGGUAACUAAACAGAAAGGUACGGCUAACUACGUG
rnacentral:rRNA from 1 species